GCCCGGAUAGCUCAGUCGGUAGAGCAGAGGACUGAAAAUCCUCGUGUCGCUGGUUCGAUUCCGGCUCCGGGCA
rnacentral:tRNA from 1 species